rnacentral:lncRNA from 1 species
UAUAAUUCCUUUUGAGAUGCUGGGGCAAAGUCCUCUUAGUAUCACAACUGAUAAUCCCACACUUUUAUUCUGUCUUCAAAAAUCUAAAAAAAAAUUUGCUCAUUAGUCAAAGAUAAAAAAAAAUCAAACAACAUUAUAUAAUUAAUGAUAAUAUAUAAUAAAAAUGAAAUGAAAGUAAAGCAAUUAAAGAAAGGAAAAAUAAAAACAAAA